UACGGAGGGUGCGAGCGUUGUCCGGAAUCACUGGGCGUAAAGGGCGCGUAGGUGGCGGGACAAGCGUGCGGUGAAAGCCUGGGGCUCAACCCCGGGUCGGCCGUGCGAACUGUUUUGCUUGAGCACUGUAGAGGCAGGCGGAAUUCCGGGGUGUAGCGGUGGAAUGCGUAGAGAUCCGGAGGAAGACCGGUGGCGAAGGCGGCCUGCUGGGCAGAUACUGACACUGAGGCGCGACAGCGUGGGGAGCAAACAGGG
rnacentral:rRNA from 1 species